AUUAUAAAUUAAAAGACAGGAAUUCCCGAUUAUAUCUAUCAUUUUUUACAAUUGGAGCCAUGAAAUUUAUAGGAAAGAUUCACUACAAUAUAGUAUCAAUGAUCUAUUCUCUUUUGAUGAAUAUUGCCUUCUACAAACUUAAUUUUUUUUAUAAAAAUUCGCAAGGACACGCAAGAACGUAAAUAUACAUAAAUAUGUAUGCCAUACUUAUUGCUAACUGAUUAUUAACACUUUGCAUUAUCAAGAAAAAAUAAUUAAAAAAGAACAUUUCCAAAAGAAGAAACAAAAUAAGUAAAAUUCCAAAAAAUUCUUUUAGUACUGAUAAAAUUUCAUAAAAAUGAUAUCUUUGAUUUUCAGAGAUAAAGAAGAGAUCCCUUGAAAAUUGUAAAUUUUCCAGGUUUUUUCCAAACAAUAAACACCCUGAAAGACAAUACAGAGAUCGCCGCACCCGUGUUUUUGAGGAUCAAUUUUAGAUAUUUUCGGUCAACGCAAGAUCUCAUUAAAGCCAAAAAUGGAGUUUUCACGGACGGACGACAGACCGUCGCGCCCGUUUCGAAGACGUUGCUUCCUUUUGUGACGUCGUCGCCAAACAAGAAUCGAAUUUGGGAUUUUUCUUGCUGUCUGUGGGCACGCACGAGUAAUGCAUACCGGUCGCGCACUAUUUCCAUCAGGACGAGAAGCCGCGAAAUCCUCUAAGGUCGUCCCGGCGGCACUGCACUAGCGCGGCGUGCACUGCGUCACGAUGCUCGUCCGCUUCGAUUUUCCGCAGUCGUCUGCGACUGUGCAACGCGAACGAUUUUGUGCCAGCAGACGUUUCCCCGUCGCCUACAAGGUACUCGCGAAGAAAGGUUCGCGAGCUCGCCUUUCCUGUUCCUCGGCUAUUUUAAAAGCGGUUUCGAUCUCUUCAACCUUUUAACUACUUUCCUUACUCGAAUAUGCUCGGGUAUCAUGUUGGAAUAUUAUAUCUUGGCUACAAUAUGCAAUCAGAACAGAGGAAUCAGGCAUAGAAGAAAAUGAGCGUUGAUUUAUGAUUUGACGAAAGCCGCACGUCUGUCGUUAUACGACGAGAAGCUUCAAGGAUGACGAAACGGUAAACGCACUUUGCUCGCCGUCCUCGUGGCAGGUUGACGCCUAAGACGAUGCUUCAUGAAUAGUCGAAGCAUAAUGAUUUGGAACGUUGGACUGUUAUAGAACAGCUUAGACACAUUGUCAAAAACAUAGAGCCAAUGCUCUCCCUCCGCAUAUUUAAUUUAAUCUUUACCGAUUUACUUUCCAACUGGAUCUGUUACUGUCAAGAAACUGUACAAUCUUGAACAGAAAUAACGAGUGACCUGAUGAUUUAACUAGUUAACACAUCUCAAGAUUCUAUGCACCUGCACGAAAUAAUACACCGACGUAAGCGGAAGACAGAAAACUUUAUGUAAUAACGUAUUUCUAAUCUUAUCUUUUUAUUUUAUGUAAUUUUGGUCACUUCUUGUAUAGGUUUAAUUGGAGCGAAAUGAUCGAAAGGACGAUUGGUUUUAGAGUGUGAUAAAGCGGAUGAAACGUGAUCAGCAGAUCGACCGAUGCAUUCCUCUCAUUAGCGAAAGGUUCGACGUUCGGUGGAAAAUGCUGUAAGAACUUACGUAAUGAUCGUGUGACGAAACUUCUGUUCACAGACAUAAGUGCGUGCUUGCAUGCGUGCAUGCAUGCAUGCAUGCAUGCAUGCAUAUUCUAUUUCGUUUUUCUACUUUGUUAAUGUUAUACUUAGCUUCUCGCUGCGUCUGCAACGUGAACUUCGGUUACGUCCGAAAGUUCACAUCGUAUACUAGAACUAUCGAUCCUGAUGAACACAAUUUCGUCUAGACAUCAAUUCUAAUUACUUAAGCACAAGGUCAAAAAAUUUGCUCAAUAAUAAUGGAAAAGAUACGGUAAUUAUAUUCGUUUUGAAAUAUUUUCAGAUAACCAA
rnacentral:lncRNA from 1 species